GAUACACCCCUUGGACUAGAUAGCAUUGGCAUUGACGAUGAGAGCUAUAGGCUUGAAGAUGAUGUAAUUGUGAACCCCAGUAUAGUUGCUGAUGACUGAUGGAGUAUGGAUAAAGAUAAGUUGAUAUCAGAAUUAACUUAUUCCGUCCUUGGUAUUAAUGGUAAUUAAAUUUUACUUUUACUUGGUUACAUUUUCUGAAUCAAUAUUUGGUUACAUUUAUUGAUUGAAUUUUUUUUUCUUAAUUUCAUGUACUUCAAAUGACCAACUACGAUGCUGCAAAUGAUGUUUCUUUUUUGGUUGAA